rnacentral:rRNA from 1 species
CCCUACUGCUAUCGGGGUGGGACUAAGACAUGCUAGUCGAGCGCCUUGAGCUAUGGCGAGGCGCGGCGUACAGCUCAGUAACACGUGGCUAACCUACCCUUAGGACGGAGACAACCCCGGGAAACUGGGGCUAAUAUCUGAUAGGUGAGGAGGCCUGGAAUGGUUCUUCGCUGAAAAGGCGUUGAAACCAUGCUUUUCAGCGUCGCCUAAGGAUGGGGCCGCGUCCGAUCAGGUUGUUGGUGGGGUAACGGCUCACCAAGCCUAUAACCGGUACGGGCCGUGAGAGCGGAAGCCCGGAGAUGGGCACUGAGAUAAGAGCCCAGGCCCUACGGGGCGCAGCAGUUGCGAAAACUCCGCAAUGCACGAAAGUGUGACGGGGCUACCCCGAGUGCCGUCCGCUGAGGAUGGCUUUUCUCCGCUGUAAGGAGGCGGAGGAAUAAGGAGAGGGCAAGACUGGUGUCAGCCGCCGCGGUAAUACCAGCUCUCCGAGUGGUAGGGGUGAUUAUUGGGCUUAAAGCGUCCGUAGCCGGCUUAGCAAGUCUUCUGUUAAAUUCAGCGACCUAAUCGUUGAGCCGCGGGAGAUACUACUAGGCUAGGAGGCGGGAGAGGCCGACGGUAUUCUCGGGGUAGGGGUGAAAUCCUAUAAUCCCGGGAGGACCACCAGUGGCGAAGGCUGUCGGCUAGAACGCGCUCGACGGUGAGGGACGAAAGCUGGGGGAGCGAACCGGAUUAGAUACCCGGGUAGUCCCAGCUGUAAACGAUGCGGGCUAGCUGUUGGGAUGGCCACGAGCCAUCCCAGUGGCGCAGGGAAACCGUUAAGCCCGCCGCCUGGGAAGUACGAUCGCAAGAUUGAAACUUAAAGGAAUUGGCGGGGGAGCACAACAAGGGGUGAAGCUUGCGGUUC